CCGACACGGGGAGGUAGUGACGAAAAAUAACAAUACAGGACUCUAACGAGGCUCUGUAAUUGGAAUGAGUACAUUCUAAAACUCUUAACGAGUAUCCAUUGGAGGGCAAGUCUGGUGCCAGCAGCCGCGGUAAUUCCAGCUCCAACAGUGUAUGCUAAAGUUGUUGCGGUUGAAAAGCUCGUAGUUGGAUCUUGGGCGGGUGUCGCCGGUCCGUCGCAAGGCGUGUUACUGGCGGCGCCUGCCUCGUCUUCGGUUCUCCGUCGGUGCUCUUGACUGAGUGUCGGCGGUGGCCGGAAAGUUUACUUUGAAAAAAUUAGAGUGUUCAAAGCAGGCUGCUCGCCUGCAUAGUGUUGCAUGGAAUAAUGGAAUAGGACCUCGGUUCUAUUUUGUUGGUUUUCGGAGCACGAGGUAAUGAUUAAGAGGGACAGACGGGGGCGUCCGUACUCUGCCGUUAGAGGUGAAAUUCUUGGAUCGGCGGAAGACGAACUACUGCGAAAGCAUUCGCCAAGAAUGUUUUCUUUAAUCAAGAGCGAAAGUCAGAGGUUCGAAGACGAUCAGAUACCGUCCUAGUUCUGACUAUAAACGAUGCCAACUAGCGAUCGGGAGGCGUUACCAUGACGACCUUCCCGGCAGCUUCCGGGAAACCAAAGUCUUUGGGUUCUGGGGGAAGUAUGGUUGCAAAGCUGAAACUUAAAGGAAUUGACGGAAGGGCACCACCAGGAGUGGAGCCUGCGGCUUAAUUUGACUCAACACGGGGAAACUCACCCGGCCCGGACACAGGAAGGAU
rnacentral:rRNA from 1 species